GAUGAACGCUGGCGGCGUGCCUAAUACAUGCAAGUCGAGCGAAUGGAUUGAGAGCUUGCUCUUAUGAAGUUAGCGGCGGACGGGUGAGUAACACGUGAGUAACCUGCCCAUAAGACUGGGAUAACUCCGCGAAACCGGGGCUAAUACCGGAUAACAUUUUGAACCGCACGGUUCGAAAUUGAAAGGCGGCUUCGGCUGUCACUUAUGGAUGGACCCGCGUCGCAUUAGCUAGGUGGUGAGGUAACGGCUCACCAAGGCAACGAUGCGUAGCCGACCUGAGAGGGUGAUCGGCCACACUGGGACUGAGACACGGCCCAGACUCCUACGGGAGGCAGCAGUAGGGAAUCUUCCGCAAUGGACGAAAGUCUGACGGAGCAACGCCGCGUGAGUGAUGAAGGCUUUCGGGUCGUAAAACUCUGUUGUUAGGGAAGAACAAGUGCUAGUUGAAUAAGCUGGCACCUUGACGGUACCUAACCAGAAAGCCACGGCUAACUACGUGCCAGCCGCCGCGGUAA
rnacentral:rRNA from 1 species